UUUUCAAAUGUUGAAGGACUUUUGCCUCUUUUAUCAUUUUCAUAAUCUCAACAAAAGAAAAAAAAAGCUUCCAAUCUCAUUUUAUCUCCACUACUUUCUACACCAAAAUUGGGUCCCACAACCCGGUUCUUUGUCUAGAGGAUAGCAGUUGAGUACUAGUGGUGGUCUCGGGUAGAAUUGGUAAGAAGACAUCAAACCUUUUGAAAGCUUCAAAGGUAAUACUUCUUAAAACCCUAAUUUGAUUAGUUUAUGGUUACAUGUUAAUUGUGGCAAUUAGGGUAGAAAUUCGAUUCUUUUUCCGCUGUGCAUGACUUAGUUCUAUCAUGUGGUAUCAGAGCAUGCUUCAUUUUUACCCAAUUGCAUGUGGUGGGUUCAAAUUUAUUAGAUAAAUUUUGGUUUGAACUAAAAUGGAUAUAUUAUGAUUUUGGCUCUAGAUUAAGUGUUUUUGUUCUAAUUAUUGUAAUUAGCCUUGUUAAUGGCUUAUUUUUAUUGUUGCAAAGUGUUUGUAAUUUUUAAAAAAAUAAAAAAAGUCAUUAGAGUUGAAGCUAGGCUGUAAUUGGUUCAACCGGGUGAGAGAAUUGAAAAAAAUGAAGAAAAGAUGGUCACAGACCCGAAAACCCGGUUUUGACCCGCUUCGCGACCCGCACGCGCGCCGCAUGCCCGCGCGCCCUCCUGCGUCCGCACGCGCCCGUGCGCCCGCGCGCCCUCCUGCGCCCGCGCGCGCCGCCCGCCUGCGCCCGCGCGGCCCGCCUGCGCCCGCGCGCCCCGCCUGCGCGCGCCCGCCUGCGCCCGCGCGCCCGCCUGCGCGCCGCACGCCUGCAUGCGCCCGUGCGCCCGCCUGUGCCCGCGCGCCCGCCUGUGCCCGCGCGCCCGCCUGCGCCCGCGCGCCCGCAUGCGCCCGCCGCGCCCGCCUUCGCACGACCCGUGUGCGCCUGGGCCGGUUCAAGCCAAUAAAUUUGGUUUUUGGGCCGGUUCAAGCGGUUUCGGUUGGUUUUUUAGCCGGUUCGAAAUUUUUGGGAGUGGUUCUGUACUACACCAAAUUAAUUAUGUAAUAAUUUAGCACUUAGCUUAAUUUAGGAGCCAAAAAUCAGUCCAUUUUAGGGUGUUUUUUUUAUUUAUGCAUGUGAUGUAUGAUUAAAUUACUUUAAAUUUGUAUGUGCAUUUUGAAUGUCAUAUAGAUUUAAAAUCCCACCAUAGGUUAACAUGUUCAUGCAUUAAAAUGUAUGAUAUAAAGGUUAUAUUGUAUUGUAUGCAUGUUAAUUGAUUAAUAUGGAAAUUAAUUAAUAUGAUUAAUUAAUUAAGUUAUUCUUGAUUAAAUAUGAUUUAAUCAAAUUAAUUAAUUAUUUAAUUUAAUUAAAUAUGAUUUAAUUAAAGUUAAAUAAAUUAAAAUCCAUAUUAAUUGAUUGUUUUUAUUAUAUAUUGAUAAAAUGAUUGAUUAAGUUUAAAAUUUUUAUAAGUGUUAUAAAAUAAAUUAGACUUUUAAAAUCAAUAACAAAGAUUAAAUGCAUGCUCACUUAGGUUAAACAUAUCUUCCAUUUUUCAUAGAAAUAGGUCGAUAUCUUGUAAAACUGGUUACAAAAGGCUCACCUGGUUCAAUCUUGUCAACAAGUCAGAUAAGAUGACUAAGGUUGGAGGUUCUUAAGUUGACGGUUUACGGAACACCUCCUACCUGGAGAUCGUAAUCAGUUCUUGAGCCUAGUUAACCUAGUUUUAUGAGCAUUCGUGAGAGGUGUGAGGUAAUCAAAAUGGUUUUUCACCUAGACAUCAUAGGUUAAAAUCCUGUAUAAUGGUUAUACUUGGAUGUUUUAUCUAGACUUAAGAUUUGUUUAAGUUAGCCUAAAUAUAAAUCUUGAAGUUUGGAUUACCCUAAUUUUUUCUCUAGAACACUUCAACUAGAGAAAAAUAAUGUAUUUUAGCUCUAGUGUCCCUAAGAGUUCACACCGUGAGGUCCAUGCAGGGCUUUGUGCCGUGCAUAGGAGCGGCCUCCCUUCGGAGAGUGUUUGCAUGGAUCAAAAUCAAGGUGAAUAGGGGAAGUAGUUCAUAGUAAGUGGGUGAGGGAUUUGUGACAGCACAUCCCACGGUCUCUUCCAUUAGGUCGCACCGUGAGAUUUCUAUAAUAUGCCUGCUUGUCUGCCCUGGAGCGACGUUCCCUUCGGAGGGUUGUAUUAUAGGAUUCGGAACACCGCGAACUCCAAAACUGGAUAGGAUUUCUUAGAUUAGUUUUCAGAAAUGAUUCUAAUCUAUAAAAUCUGAAAAUGGUGGGUAACACUUACAAGAAUUACUAAGUUGUUAGUAUAUUCUUGACUAAAGUAGGCGAUAACUAAGUGCUAUAAAGAAUAAAGAGUUAUUCUUGAGAUAGCAUCUAGUCAAGAUUGUCUUGGUUCAAAGGAGGAAUAAUCAACUACCCUUCGGAGAAGGUUGUUCUAAACCUUUGAAAUAUUGUUGCAAAAUACAAAUAAUGAAAGGGUACAUUAUUAGUAAUUGCUAAAUUAGAUUGGAUAUUUUUUAUGAUUAUAGUUUUUUCCUAAAAAGAAUAUGUUUGUUUUUCCAGCAUGAAUAGCUCAAUAGUUCAACUUUUAGCUUCCGAAAAACUUAAUGGCGAUAAUUAUGCGGCUUGGAAAUCAAAUCUUAACACAAUACUAGUGGUUGACGAUUUAAGAUUUGUCUUAACUGAGGAAUGUCCUCAAAACCCUGCCUCUAAUGCUAACCGAACUAGUCGGGAUGCAUAUGAUCGAUGGAUAAAAGCUAAUGAAAAAGCCCGUGUUUACAUUCUUGCCAGCAUGUCUGAUGUAUUGGCAAAGAAACAUGAAUCCUUAGCCACGGCUAAAGAGAUUAUGGAUUCAUUAAGGGGAAUGUUUGGGCAACCAGAAUGGUCCUUAAGACACGAGGCAGUCAAAUACAUUUACACUAAGCGUAUGAAGGAAGGGACCUCUGUUAGAGAACAUGUUCUGGACAUGAUGAUGCACUUCAACAUCGCUGAAGUGAAUGGUGGUCCCAUCGAAGAGGUUAAUCAAGUUAGUUUUAUCUUAGAAUCUCUUCCGAAGAGCUUCAUUCCAUUCCAAACGAAUGCGUCUUUGAACAAGAUAGAAUUUAACUUGACAACCCUUCUGAAUGAACUCCAGCGAUUCCAAAACCUAACUAUGGGUAAAGGAAAACAAGUGGAAGCAAAUGUUGCUACCACAAAAAGAAAAUUUAUAAGAGGAUCGUCCUCUAAAACCAAAGCUGGACCCUCAAAACCUAAUACUCAAAUAAAAAAGAAGGGAAAGGGAAAGACUCCCAAACAGAACAAGGGUAAGAAAGCUGCAGAAAAAGGUAAGUGUUACCAUUGUGGCCAAAACGGGCACUGGUUAAGAAACUGCCCAAAAUACCUUGCAGAAAAAAAGGCAGAGAAGGAAACACAAGGUAAAUAUGAUUUACUAGUUGUAGAAACAUGUUUAGUGGAAUAUGAAAAUUCUACCUGGAUACUAGAUUCAGGAGCCACUAACCAUAUUUGCUUCUCAUUUCAGGAAAAUAGUUCUUGGAAAAAGCUUUCAGAAGGCGAGAUCACUCUCAAGGUUGGAACAGGAGAGAUGGUCUCAGCUUCAGCAGUGGGAGAUUUAAAGUUGUUUUUUAGAGAUAGAUAUGUCAUACUUAAGAAUGUCUUAUAUGUACCUCAAAUGAAAAGAAAUUUAAUAUCUAUCUCUUGUAUUUUGGAACAAAUGUAUAGAAUAUCUUUUGAAAUUAAUGAAGCGUUCGUUUUCUAUAAAGGUAUUCUAGUUUGUUCUGCUAUACUUGAAGACAACUUAUAUAAGUUAAGACCAACUAGAGCAAAUUUUGUCUUAAAUACUGAAAUAUUCAGAACAACUGAAACUCAGAAUAAAAGACAAAAAGUUUCUUCUAAUGCCUAUUUAUGGCACUUAAGACUUGGUCACAUAAAUCUCAAUAGGAUUGGGAGAUUGGUUAAAAGUGGGCUUCUAAGUCCGUUAGAAGAUAACUCUUUACCUCCUUGUGAAUCUUGUCUUGAAGGAAAAAUGACCAAGAGAUCUUUUACUGGAAAAGGUCUAAGAGCCAAAGGACCCUUAGAGCUCGUACAUUCGGACCUUUGUGGACCAAUGAAUGUCAAAGCUCGAGGUGGAUAUGAAUAUUUCAUUAGCUUCAUUGAUGAUUAUUCAAGGUAUGGUCAUAUUUACCUAAUACAUCAUAAGUCUAAUAGUCUUGAAAAGUUCAAAGAAUAUAAGGCUGAAGUAGAAAACGAAUUAGGUAAAACAAUAAAAAUACUUCGAUCAGAUCGAGGUGGAGAGUAUAUGGACUUACGAUUCCGAGACUAUUUAAUAGAAAAUGGAAUCCAGUCACAACUCUCUGCACCUAGUACACCUCAACAGAACGGUGUAUCAGAAAGAAGAAACCGGACCUUGUUAGACAUGGUUCGCUCUAUGAUAAGUUUUUCUCAGAUGUCAGAUUCUUUUUGGGGAUAUGCUUUAGAAACAGCUGCUUAUAUUUUGAAUAAUGUUCCCUCUAAAAGUGUUUCAGAAACACCUUAUGAGCUAUGGAAAGGGCGUAAAGGCAGUUUACGUCAUUUUAGAAUUUGGGUUGUCCAGCACACGUGUUGGUACAAAAUCCAAAGAAAUUGGAACAUCGUUCAAAAUUAUGCUUUUUUAUAGGUUAUCCAAAAGAAUCAAGAGGUGGUUUGUUUUAUGAUCCUCAAGAAAAUAAAAUACUUGUGUCAACAAAUGCCACAUUCUUAGAGGAAGACCACAUCAGGGAUCAUCAACCUCGUAGUAAACUAGUAUUAAAAGAAAUUUCCAAAAGUGCUAUAGAUAAACCCUAGUUCAUCCACUAAGGUAGUUGAUAAGACUAGGAAAUCUGGACAAUCACAUCCUUCUCAACAGUUGAGAGAGCCUCGACGUAGUGGGAGGGUUGUUCAUCAGCCUGAUCGCUAUUUGGGUUUAAUUGAAACUCAAGUCGUCAUACCUGACGAUGGCAUAGAGGAUCCAUUAACCUAUAAACAGGCAAUGAAAGAUGUAGAUCGUGACCAAUGGAUCAAAGCCAUGGACCUCGAAAUGGAGUCUAUGUACUUUAAUUCUGUCUGGACUCUAGUAGAUCAACCGAAUGACGUAAAACCUAUUGGUUGUAAAUGGAUCUACAAGAGAAAACGAGACCAUGCCGGUAAAGUACAGACUUUCAAGGCUCGACUUGUGGCAAAGGGUUAUACCCAGAGAGAGGGAGUAGACUAUGAGGAAACUUUCUCUCCUGUUGCCAUGUUAAAGUCAAUUAGAAUACUCUUAUCCAUCGCCACUUUUUAUGAUUAUGAAAUUUGGCAGAUGGAUGUCAAGACAGCUUUUUUGAAUGGUAAUCUUGAAGAGAGUAUCUAUAUGUCUCAACCAGAGGGGUUUAUAAAACAAGAUCAAGAACAAAAGGUUUGUAAGCUUAAAAAAUCCAUUUAUGGAUUAAAACAAGCUUCUAGAUCCUGGAAUAUAAGAUUUGAUACUGCGAUCAAAUCUUAUGGCUUUGAACAAAAUGUUGACGAGCCUUGUGUUUACAAAAAGGUCGUCAAUUCCAUUAUAGCAUUUUUAGUCUUAUAUGUAGAUGAUAUUCUACUUAUUGGAAAUGACGUAGGAUAUCUUACUGAUAUCAAGAAAUGGCUAGCUAUGCAAUUUCAAAUGAAAGAUCUGGGAGAUGCACAAUACGUUCUCGGAAUCCAAAUUGUUCGAAACCGUAAGAACAAAACACUAGCCAUGUCUCAAGCAUCUUACAUAGACAAAAUGUUGUCUAGAUAUAAAAUGCAGAAUUCCAAAAAGGGUCUGCUGCCGUACAGAUAUGGAAUUCAUUUGUCAAAGGAACAAUGUCCUAAGACACCUCAAGAAGUUGAGGAUAUGAGAAAUAUUCCCUAUGCUUCCGCUGUUGGAAGUUUAAUGUAUGCAAUGUUAUGUACUAGACCUGACAUUUGCUACUCAGUAGGGAUGGUCAGUAGGUAUCAAUCCAAUCAUGGACGUGAUCACUAGACAGCCGUUAAAAACAUUCUACAUGCUCAUGUAUCGUACAAAGGAUAUGAUCCUUACUGGAUACACUGAUUCGGAUUUCCAAACUAAUAAAGAUGUUAGAAAGUCUACAUCAGAAUCAGUAUUUACUCUAAAUGGAGGAGCAGUAGUUUGGAGAAGCAUAAAGCAAACUUGUAUAGCUGAUUCCACAAUGGAAGCUGAUCAUUUUACAAAAGCCCUCACGGCUAAAGUGUUUGAGGGUCACCUACACAGUUUAGGUGUACGAUGUUUGUAAACUAGGACAAGUGGGAGACUUAUUGGCCAUGUGCCCUAGUUUCAUAUAUAUUCUCUCACACCACAUCUCUCAUACCACUAGGAAUUUUAGUCCAAGUGGGAGUUACCAUUUGUGACAGCACAUCCCACGGUCUCUUCCAUUAGGUCGCACCGUGAGAUUUCUAUAAUAUGCCUGCUUGUCUGCCCUGGAGCGACGUUCCCUUCGGAGGGUUGUAUUAUAGGAUUCGGAACACCGCGAACUCCAAAACUGGAUAGGAUUUCUUAGAUUAGUUUUCAGAAAUGAUUCUAAUCUAUAAAAUCUGAAAAUGGUGGGUAACACUUACAAGAAUUACUAAGUUGUUAGUAUAUUCUUGACUAAAGUAGCGAUAACUAAGUGCUAUAAAGAAUAAAGAGUUAUUCUUGAGAUAGCAUCUACUCAAGAUUGUCUUGGUUCAAAGGAGGAAUAAUCAACUACCCUUCGGAGAAGGUUGUUCUAAACCUUUGAAAUAUUGUUGCAAAAUACAAAUAAUGAAAGGGUACAUUAUUAGUAAUUGCUAAAUUAGAUUGGAUAUUUUUUAUGAUUAUAGUUUUUUCCUAAAAAGAAUAUGUUUGUUUUUCAGCAUGAAUAGCUCAAUAGUUCAACUUUUAGCUUCCGAAAAACUUAAUGGCGAUAAUUAUGCGGCUUGGAAAUCAAAUCUUAACACAAUACUAGUGGUUGACGAUUUAAGAUUUGUCUUAACUGAGGAAUGUCCUCAAAACCCUGCCUCUAAUGCUAACCGAACUAGUCGGGAUGCAUAUGAUCGAUGGAUAAAAGCUAAUGAAAAAGCCCGUGUUUACAUUCUUGCCAGCAUGUCUGAUGUAUUGGCAAAGAAACAUGAAUCCUUAGCCACGGCUAAAGAGAUUAUGGAUUCAUUAAGGGGAAUGUUUGGGCAACCAGAAUGGUCCUUAAGACACGAGGCAGUCAAAUACAUUUACACUAAGCGUAUGAAGGAAGGGACCUCUGUUAGAGAACAUGUUCUGGACAUGAUGAUGCACUUCAACAUCGCUGAAGUGAAUGGUGGUCCCAUCGAAGAGGUUAAUCAAGUUAGUUUUUAUCUUAGAAUCUCUUCCGAAGAGCUUCAUUCCAUUCCAAACGAAUGCGUCUUUGAACAAGAUAGAAUUUAACUUGACAACCCUUCUGAAUGAACUCCAGCGAUUCCAAAACCUAACUAUGGGUAAAGGAAAACAAGUGGAAGCAAAUGUUGCUACCACAAAAAAGAAAAUUUAUAAGAGGAUCGUCCUCUAAAACCAAAGCUGGACCCUCAAAACCUAAUACUCAAAUAAAAAAGAAGGGAAAGGGAAAGACUCCCAAACAGAACAAGGGUAAGAAAGCUGCAGAAAAAGGUAAGUGUUACCAUUGUGGCCAAAACGGGCACUGGUUAAGAAACUGCCCAAAAUACCUUGCAGAAAAAAAGGCAGAGAAGGAAACACAAGGUAAAUAUGAUUUACUAGUUGUAGAAACAUGUUUAGUGGGAAUAUGAAAAUUCUACCUGGAUACUAGAUUCAGGAGCCACUAACCAUAUUUGCUUCUCAUUUCAGGAAAAUAGUUCUUGGAAAAAGCUUUCAGAAGGCGAGAUCACUCUCAAGGUUGGAACAGGAGAGAUGGUCUCAGCUUCAGCAGUGGGAGAUUUAAAGUUGUUUUUUAGAGAUAGAUAUGUCAUACUUAAGAAUGUCUUAUAUGUACCUCAAAUGAAAAGAAAUUUAAUAUCUAUCUCUUGUAUUUUGGAACAAAAUGUAUAGAAUAUCUUUUGAAAUUAAUGAAGCGUUCGUUUUCUAUAAAGGUAUUCUAGUUUGUUCUGCUAUACUUGAAGACAACUUAUAUAAGUUAAGACCAACUAGAGCAAAUUUUGUCUUAAAUUACUGAAAUAUUCAGAACAGCUGAAACUCAGAAUAAAAGACAAAAAGUUUCUUCUAAUGCCUAUUUAUGGCACUUAAGACUUGGUCACAUAAAUCUCAAUAGGAUUGGGAGAUUGGUUAAAAGUGGGCUUCUAAGUCCGUUAGAAGAUAACUCUUUACCUCCUUGUGAAUCUUGUCUUGAAGGAAAAAUGACCAAGAGAUCUUUUACUGGAAAAGGUCUAAGAGCCAAAGGACCCUUAGAGCUCGUACAUUCGGACCUUUGUGGACCAAUGAAUGUCAAACUCGAGGUGGAUAUGAAUAUUUCAUUAGCUUCAUUGAUGAUUAUUCAAGGUAUGGUCAUAUUUACCUAAUACAUCAUAAGUCUAAUAGUCUUGAAAAGUUCAAAGAAUAUAAGGCUGAAGUAGAAAACGAAUUAGGUAAAACAAUAAAAAUACUUCGAUCAGAUCGAGGUGGAGAGUAUAUGGACUUACGAUUCCGAGACUAUUUAAUAGAAAAUGGAAUCCAGUCACAACUCUCUGCACCUAGUACACCUCAACAGAACGGUGUAUCAGAAAGAAGAAACUGGACCUUGUUAGACAUGGUUCGCUCUAUGAUGAGUUUUUCUCAGAUGUCAGAUUCUUUUUGGGAUAUGCUUUAGAAACAGCUGCUUAUAUUUUGAAUAAUGUUCCCUCUAAAAGUGUUUCAGAAACACCUUAUGAGCUAUGGAAAGGGCGUAAAGGCAGUUUACGUCAUUUUAAAUUUGGGGUUGUCCAGCACAUGUGUUGGUACAAAAUCCAAAGAAAUUGGAACAUCGUUCAAAAUUAUGCUUUUUAUAGGUUAUCCAAAAGAAUCAAGAGGUGGUUUGUUUUAUGAUCCUCAAGAAAAUAAAAUAUUUGUGUCAACAAAUGCCACAUUCUUAGAGGAAGACCACAUCAGGGAUCAUCAACCUCGUAGUAAACUAGUAUUAAAAGAAAUUUCCAAAAGUGCUAUAGAUAAACCUAGUUCAUCCACUAAGGUAGUUGAUAAGACUAGGAAAUCUGGUCAAUCACAUCCUUCUCAACAGUUGAGAGAGCCUCGACGUAGUGGGAGGGUUGUUCAUCAGCCUGAUCGCUAUUUGGGUUUAAUUGAAACUCAAGUCGUCAUACCUGACGAUGGCAUAGAGGAUCCAUUAACCUAUAAACAGGCAAUGAAAGAUGUAGAUCGUGACCAAUGGAUCAAAGCCAUGGACCUCGAAAUGGAGUCUAUGUACUUUAAUUCUUCUGGACUCUAGUAGAUCAACCAAAUGACGUAAAACCUAUUGGUUGUAAAUGGAUCUACAAGAGAAAACGAGACCAUGCCGGUAAAGUACAGACUUUAAGGCUCGACUUGUGGCAAAGGGUUAUACCUAGAGAGAGGGAGUAGACUAGAGGAAACUUUCUCUCCGUUGCCAUGUUAAAGUCAAUUAGAAUACUCUUAUCCAUCGCCACUUUUUAUGAUUAUGAAAUUUGGCAGAUGGAUGUCAAGACAGCUUUUUUGAACGGUAAUCUUGAAGAGAGCAUCUAUAUGUCUCAACCAGAGGGGUUUAUAAAACAAGAUCAAGAACAAAAGGUUUGUAAGCUUAAAAAAUCCAUUUAUGGAUUAAAACAAGCUUCUAGAUCCUGGAAUAUAAGAUUUGAUAUUGCGAUCAAAAUCUUAUGGCUUUGAACAAAAUGUUGACGAGCCUUGUGUUUACAAAAGGUCGUCAAUUCCAUUAUAGCAUUUUUUAGUCUUAUAUGUAGAUGAUAUUCUACUUAUUGGAAAUGACUAGGAUAUCUUCCUGAUAUCAAGAAAUGGCUAGCUAUGCAAUUUCAAAUGAAAGAUCUGGGAGAUGCACAAUACGUUCUCGGAAUCCAAAUUGUUCGAAACCGUAAGAACAAAACACUAGCCAUGUCUCAAGCAUCUUACAUAGACAAAAUGUUGUCUAGAUAUAAAAUGCAGAAUUCCAAAAAGGGUCUGCUGCCGUACAGAUAUGGAAUUCAUUUGUCAAAGGAACAAUGUCCUAAGACACCUCAAGAAGUUGAGGAUAUGAGAAAUAUUCCCUAUGCUUCCGCUGUUGGAAGUUUAAUGUAUGCAAUGUUAUGUACUAGACCUGACAUUUGCUACUCAGUAGGGAUGGUCAGUAGGUAUCAAUCCAAUCAUGGACGUGAUCACUGGACAGCCGUUAAAAACAUUCUACAUGCUCAUGUAUCGUACAAAGGAUCUGAUCCUUACUGGAUACACUGAUUCAGAUUUCCAAACUGAUAAAGAUGUUAGAAAGUCUACAUCAGGAUCAGUAUUUACUCUAAAUGGAGGAGCAGUAGUUUGGAGAAGCAUAAAGCAAACUUGUAUAGCUGAUUCCACAAUGGAAGCUGAUCAUUUUACAAAAGCCCUCAUGGCUAAAGUGUUUGAGGGUCACCUACACAGUUUAGGUGUACGAUGUUUGUAAACUAGGACAAGUGGGAGACUUAUUGGCCAUGUGCCCUAGUUUCAUAUAUAUUCUCUCACACCACAUCUCUCAUACCACUAGGAAUUUUAGUCCAAGUGGGAGUUUGUUGGAAUUUUUUGUCCUAAAACUCGUAGUUUGUAAAUCAUAUUCUAUUCAAUAAAGUUGUUAUUGAGAAAUUAAAUAUUAUAAUCUUAAAUCCAAUAAAUCAAAGUUCCAAGGCUAUUUUUUGAAUAAACUUGAACUUUAUGUGUAAACAUAAACGUGGAUCAAGUUCGAGUAUAUAGCCUAAAUAGUCUAUAGUAUAUGAAAUAAAGGUUGGGCGCCUUAUUUUGAGAGACUAUGGAUGCGGCCCACUUUGUAGUACAAACGAUGUGAUCCUAAUCGUUCAUGUAGAGACAUGAAAGUGGGGGCAUCCUAUGUAAAAUGUUUACAUAAGACUGAACCAUGAAUUAGUCAUUUUUACGUUAUAACACCGUUUACUGUUUAAAACUGACUAUCUCAAUUAUUGAUGACCUAGGUAACUUAGUCUUAAUCCUGAGUUAACUAUGAACUCCUGUUCAUACGAGAUUAUCCUUAGAUCUGCAUAGGUGAGGGCAGCUCAUCAGCGUUGGCCCAAUAAGCCUCCCAUUUCAGGGGUAAGAUCGGGUGGAUAGCUGGGAACAUAGGGUACAAGAUGGAAU
rnacentral:lncRNA from 1 species